AUGAAAGAGAAAGUAGUGGAAAAAAAUAGUAAGCAUAAAAAUUGCAAUUGCUGUCUUGCAGACGGGACCUCAUGUAAACCAGGCAGGAGAGAUAUUACCAAAAUGGAAUCAUUUUCCACUAGAACUCAUAUACUGAAACCCCAAUUAAUUUUGAAAAGUCUGUGCUCUGCCAAGUGUUCAAAUCUAUGGAAUUUGGAAUCCUGUGCCGGAAGCUGCUGUAUAGGCAUUUUCUUAUUUUUUUAAAUUUCUUUUUAAUUUUUAAUCUUAAUUUUUCACAAGAUCCAUGAACUGCCACAGUUUGUACUGUUCACUGGAUGAAUACGCAAGUCACCAGAAUUAAGUGGACUUACCAGAUAUAAGUUCAUCUGUUUCUAUACACUGCAAAAAUACUGUUUGUAACUAAAAGUUUAGCUGAAAAUACCUGUGAAUACUUGAAGAUCUGGUAUAGAUAAUUAAUAAACCAAAUUUUAAUGUUAUUUUGUUAGUCCA
rnacentral:lncRNA from 1 species